rnacentral:rRNA from 1 species
UACGGAGGGUGCAAGCGUUACUCGGAAUAACUGGGCGUAAAGAGCGCGUAGGCGGUUUGGUAAGUCUGAUGUGAAAGCCCGGGGCUCAACCCCGGAAGUGCAUUGGAUACUGCCAGACUAGAGUGCAGGAGAGGAGAGUGGAAUUCCUGGUGUAGAGGUGAAAUUCGUAGAUAUCAGGAGGAACAACAGAGGCGAAGGCGACUCUCUGGACUGAAACUGACGCUGAGGCGCGAAAGCGUGGGUAGCAAACAGG